AGCAGGAUUGUAGUGGGCUGGGCCUUACUGGGCUGGGGCAAGAUUUAGUCUUGAGGAGGAGCGUGGGGUGCUAGAUGGAUAACUACGUCCCGAACUGGUUCCUAUGUUUUUCUAGGGCAUAUGGACUAGGGAUGGGUACUUGAGCAGAAGCCAGCAACUAGAACGAAGAGUUUGUGCAGGAGUUACCUGCAUGAUCGGAAAUUACUGUCCUGUAUGCUCAACAAGGUAUUCGGACUGGGUGUCCACACAACAGCUCUCAGGACUGGAGGGUGGAAAUUUAAUCUACAAAGUUCCCUUAAACUGCAAAAGCUUCGGGACCUCUUGAUUCACUGAUAUUUUCUGGUGGACCCCGGGCUUAUUAAUGUUAAAACCUGUUUUUCAUUACUAUCAGAAAAAAAUAACAGCUCCAUUAAUGAAAUGCAGCAUUUGGUAAAUGAUGUUAAAUGGAAUGAUAGAAACCUAACUUUAACCAACCAGAUGAGUCAUUUCUACUAUUACCAAGAGUACUGUAGGUUUUUAAAGCCAAAAUUACUGUCUGAUACAGUUGCUGUAUAUUUGAAAAGUUUUGGGUUUUGGGGGAGAGGGGUUUGAUCAUUUUAUAUUCAAAAUGUCUAAUCUGACUCAUGGUUUUGCUGUCCAUUUAUUAUGAACUGUACUUCCUCAUUUACCUACUUGCCCAAGUGCUGUUAUGUUUGGGUUUCUGACUCUGCAAGGGAGUAUGUGAGUGCCUACUAAAGUUUGUCAUCUUCCUGUUUUAAAGAAACAGCUGUUUUAGGGAUAGAUAUGUACAUUUAGAAGCUGAAAUUGUAAUACUUUUAAAUAGCAAACUUAAUAUAAAGUGAAAUACACAUUUGUUGACUGUAAGGUUGAAUUUGCCCUAAAUUAACUCUAAUUAGUAAGCUUAUGAGUUAUUGCGCUUAAAUCCCCUACUCGGUUGAAACGCCCCAUUGCAAAUACCAUAUUUUCUUUUUUUUUUUUUUUUUGUGGGAGUUUUUUGGUAUUGUCUAAUUAAAGCAAGAGCUUAAGAAACAAGGAUAUUGCUUAAGAUAAUAUCUGUAAAUACUGAAGCUAAAAAUAGGUUAUCAAGAAUUGAGUUAAUAAACAAAGAUUGGGAGGGGCUCUGACUUCAGUAUAAGAUAAUGUCUGUAUUGGAGUUUAUAAUCUGUAUGCUAAUUGAACCUUCAUUUCCAUAAUAUUAGAAUAUAAUAACAAUGUUUUCCUGUUGGUUGUACUCUUAUGGCCCAGUUUCUUUUACUGUAAGAAUAUAUGUUCAGAACAGCGAUCUCUGAGGAACCAUAAAAAGAAAUUUAACAGUGGUGUGAUCUCUGCUCACGGUAAUCUCAGCCUUCUUGGCAAAAAAAAAAGAAAUUUAAAAAUAUAUAUUAAAAAAUAUAUAUAUGUUCUUGGAGCCAUUGUUUGAAUCCCAAUUCUGCCACUUUACUAGCUGUGUUAUGUGUCUUUUGGGACAUGGAGUUGACAAUGCCUAGAGUUCCUCAUCUGUAAAAUGGAGACAAUAACAGUACUUCCUCCUUGGGCUACUAUGAAAUUUGAAUAAGUGAAUACAUUUUAGAAGCCCUGAGAGUUGGGCAUUGCUCUCAGUGCCCUGAGAGCAGCCACUUGCCACCUGUUGGCUGUUACUAACAUGGGCGUUAAAGCCAAGGUUAUACUACUUCCUUUAUUCAAUAGGUAGGUUUCUUUUAAAAAAACACUUGUAUGCUUUUAUAAAAUAAAUCGUAUUUUGAAACUAAGCCAGUCACUGACAUUUGGAUCUCAGUCCACUAAAAUAUUUUCUGAUAAGCUAGGGAGUCAAUAUAGGUUUGACUUUAUAUUGGCAAGGGCAUUAAAAGGGAACAAUUAGCAUAGACUAUCCCCAUCAUUUAUUAAAAUGUAUUUUAACCUCAGAAAUGGGGAAGAUCCAUUUUUGAAUAAAUGACAGUUUCUUGAAUUUACCAGCCUCAGGAUGAACAAUGCAUCACACUGAUUUUUCUCAUUUCACUCUGAACUUAAGGAGACGUCACAGGCCAGCAUUUAGGAACUCACUACAUUAAGUUAAUUGUUUCUUGGAUUUGGGUAUACUGUGUGUCAGGCUGCAUGUGCCCGAAUAGAUUAACCAACUAAAGAGAAACUUGGUGUGUUUCGUCUAGACUAUAAGGUUAGGGAACAAGCUUGAAGGUUAUAUGACAUGCAGAGGGUACACAUCCAGUGAGCAGCACAACUCUGAAACCGUGUCUUUGUCUGCCUGGGUAUACAGCCAAUGCUGUUAGCCACCGCACUCCAGGAAAGGGAAAAUUGAACUGGAAACCUUUACAGAUUAUCUAAUUCAAUGUCCCCAACCCUUCCUUACAAAUGACACAGAUGUUCGCCAGCACUAGGAUCCCAGAAUUUCUACUCUUCGGUCAAGGUUUUCCCAUUAGUCACCGUGUGUCUCUAAGUACAACUGUUUUGUUGUUUUUGUUUUUGUUUUUGUUUUGAGAUGUAGUCUCCCACUGUCACCCAGGCUGGGGUGCGACGGCGAAACCUCGGUUCACUGUAACCUCCACCUCCCAGGUUCAAAUGAUUCUCUGGCCUCUGCCUCCCAAGUAGCUGGAAUUACAGGCGCACACCACCACGAUCUGCUAAUUUUUUUUUUUUUUUUUUUUUGAGACGGAGUUUCACUCUUGUUACCCAGGCUGGAGUGCAAUUGGCGCGAUCUCGGCUCACCGCAACCUCCGCCUCCUGGGUUCAGGCAAUUCUCCUGCCUCAGCCUCCCGAGUAGCUGGGAUUACAGGCACGUGCCACCCUGCCCAGCUAAUUUUUUGUGUGUUUUUAGUAGAGAUGGGGUUUCACCAUGUUGACCAGGAUGGUCUCGAUCAUCUGACCUCGUUAUCCACCGGCCUCGGCCUCCCAAAGUGCUGGGAUUACAGGCGUCAGCUACCGCGCCCGACCCAUACAGCUGAUUUUUCAAAAUGGAUUCACUAUAGGAUCCUUUUAAGUAACAAAUUUCCAUAAUGCCCUUCAGUUGUAAUUUGAUAUAGUAGAAUUUCAUCUAUAUACUUUUUUUUCCAGAUAUCAUGUAUGUCGUAAACGGGGACACCCUAAUGCUCUAAAUAGUAUGUCCGAGAGUGUAAUAUUAGCUUGCUCUUUUGAAUGAACUCGAAUUGUGCAGAUUUCCCUGAUGGGAAAAAGGCAAGAAAUUCUGAAAUACUUAAUACAUAUAUAUUUCAGCCAUUUGAGUGAAAAUGCUAUAAUUCUGGAAAUUGUUUCACAGCUCAAUUCUAAACCUAUGGCUUUUCUGAUUUACAUGGUGCAACCCACCUUAAAAAAACAUGAACAGAAGGAGAGUUGAACAUUAGAAAAUAAAAAGAUCAUUUAUGUCCUGUCCUCCACUUACAUCUAUCCCUUCCCCAUUUGUCUUCAAUGUUAUUUUUGAAAUCCUGAUGUGCAUGUGUGGCAGCACUGAAGAAAUGAAAGGAACCACUAAGUCUCCUUUUAGGUUUUACAUUCUAGGCAGUUGUCCAUCGAUUCUAGAACCAUUAGGCAAGUGUUUGGCCGCUUUGAAGUUAGUUUUGGGUUUAAGUUUCAGGCCCAUCACUCACUAGAUGAGUUUCAGUGAAACACCUUAUCUUGUGAGUCAGUUUUCCAUCAGUUAUAAAAUACUAACCUGACAGGAUUAUUAUGGGUAUCAAAUCAAAAUGUAUUUAUGCUUUGAAAACAAAAAAGCAAAGACAGAAAAGAACAAUGUCAUCAACAUUUUUUUAAAAAUUACCCUUUGUUUGUUUUUGCCAUUUUCUAUUAGCAUAAUUAUAUGUUUUUAGUGUGUGAUAAAACUAUAAACAUCUUUCUUGAUUUCAGAGUAUGGAAAUGCUGGAAGAUAAUUUUCCAUUGAUCUCUUGCAUAUCUUGCAAGUGAGGCACUGAUUUCCUUUAUUACAGACUAUUUUUCCAAGGAUUUUUAUAUAAUAACCUUGGAAGACAGAGAAAAUGUCUCUUUACGGAGCAAACAGCAGGCAUGCUUACUAUUCCGUAUAAAAGAUUCCCUAACUUUUGGGUUUCUCCACUGUAACACAAUCAAUUUUAUGUGGAGCUCUCUAUCUGGGCUUGUCCCUGUUGCCCUGUGGGAAGUGGGCCUUGCGGUACUGGUGAAAAGGCUGAUACUCUGUCUACUUCUCUUGCUGUAGGGAAUAAAGCCUCCUGUCUCUGCCCCAGGAGUCUUGUGUCUUCUAAUGAUCAUCAUACUCUGUGGCAGGCUAAUUUGUUAGCCCGCAAAAAGUAAAAUCUCAGGCCCUUCACCAUUCUCGACAGGAAGUUGGAAUGUAAAAUGGGGAAUGAUUUUUCCUUCUAUCAUGACUUGAGACAAUUUUUACAAAAUAUGUAUCAACUUUUUGAGAAUGGGCAGUAUAUUGUGAUUAAUCUUACAGAUUCUGUAGCCAGGCUGUUUGGGUUCUAAUCCUGAAUAGUGGUCUUUUUUAGUUUGGAUUCCCAAAAACAGACCCUGAGACACAGAUAUGAGUGAAAAUAGUUUAUUUGGAAGGUGAUCUUAGGAAUCACUGAUGGAAACUGAGGAAGUAGGAAAGGAAAGAGGAGACAGACAAUAAAUGAUGAAUUUUCAAGUGAGUUAUGACUGUGGAUAGCUAGAGUUUAAUCUUAUUUGGGAACUCUUGUAGCCAAUACAGAACAUGUACUUUGGAUUUUCCCACUUGAGGGGUGAGGGAGCUGGAUAUUAUACACUAAAUCACAUGAGUCCUUGCUUGAGGGACCCUGGAAGAGGGUAGGUACUGAUUCUAGUUCUGGAUUUUGGGGUCUGCCUUGCACAACACAAAAUAGACUUCCACAGGACCUGGCAGGUAGGUGUGAGAUUCGGGUGUGCGUUAUAUUAAUAAGGCCAAGGGAACAUAGCUGGCACAAUCACAGCUUUUGUUAUCGAUACCCUCCAGCAGUAUAGUCUUAUGAAGUUACUCGAUCUGUUUAUGCCCCUGUUCUCUCGUCUGUACAAUGGGAAUAAUAGCAUCAACCACAUAGAGUUGAUGAAACAAUUAAAAAUCCAGCCUGUGUAAAACACUUAAAACAAGCCAUAGUCUUUCAUAAUACUGUUGUUUUAAAAACAACAGUACUGCUGAACAGUAUAGUAUGGUUUUUAAAAAAUACUGCUGUUUAUUGUUGUAGAAGAACGUGACCUUUUGUAUUUAUUGAGAUUUUUUCUGUCUCAUUCUCUAGCAUUCUGGAGAUUGACUUUUAAUUCCUUAACAUCAUGGAAUUUUAUUUUAUUAAUAUUACAUGCCUGAGAUUGAAUCGUCUAUAUUCCAGCUCAUUUAUGGAAGGUCAUCCCCUUAUUGAGACCAGCUCAAAAGACCCUCAGGAACUUAGAAGACUCCUGCUGACUUUGAAGAUCAUAGUCCCAAAGCAGGUCCUGAAAUGCAGCAGCAAAGAAGAGCAUCACCGUCAAAGCUCAACUUCCAUCAGAAUGGUACGACUUCACUUAUCCAGGGGAAUAUCUCAGUAACCAUCUCAGCAUGUGCCUGUACGCCAACUUGAAGCAUAGUAUAUAUUACCUGCAACCAAAAACAUGCUCAGGAGAAGCUCUUUGGCUGGUACUAAUGCUGGAGAAAGACUCUGCGGCAAACACCUUUUCUUCUGAGUCUUGCUUCUUAAUUGGAGAACAUGCCAGUGACUUAAGAGUUCCCUGAGCUUCUAGAAUUCUGCUCUUUGGGUAUCUUUUCCCAGCUUUCCAGGGAUCAUUUACAGCAGACGAGCAAACUGGUGAGGAAACGGAAUAGCGUCUAACAAUCAUGACAUUGCCUGUACAAAAGACACAAAAUUCAACUUAAAAAAAUUCUACCCUAAUGACACUCACAAACAAAAAAUGAUAGAAUUUAUUGAAACUUACUAGACAGAACUAUUGUUUCUCAUUUUUUUUGCAUAAAAGAUACCCAUUCGUUGAUUUAUUUUAGAAAUAUUCAUUGAGUGCCAACCAUAUGUCAGGAUCUUUUUUAAGAGAUGGGAAUAUUGUAGAGAACAGCAUAACAUUCCAGAGUUCGCCUUUUUAUGUGAGACACAGGCAGUAAACAAACAAUAUGUGACACACUUUAUGUAGUAAUACAUUCUAGGAUGACAAAUAAAGCUGAUGAGGACAAGGGGAGAGAGACAGAUGCAGGGAGGUGUUCUGAGGCUACUUCAGUUGUGUGCCAGGGAAGACCUUUCUGAGAAUACAGCAUUAGAACAGGGACUUGACAUACGCAGAUAAUAAAAAAAGACCUUAAGAUUGGGAAAACAGGAAUCUUUCAGACAUGCCAAUUCUUGAUGGUCUUCUUAUUCCUGAUUCUAGAAGAACAGGCUUAUCCGCAGUGUCUGAUCACCUGAAUGACCACAGUAGUUUAACUGGUUGGUGCUAACUGGCCUAUCUAUGAAUGCAUGUCUUGGCCUUAGUUGGGAUAGUCAU